AGAGUUUGAUCCUGGCUCAGAGUGAACGCUGGCGGCGUGCUUAACACAUGCAAGUCGAACGAGAACGGGCCUAGCUUGCUAGGCUGUCAGCUAAGUGGCGGACGGGUGAGUAAUGUAUAGUUAAUCUGCCCCCUAGAGAGGGAUAACAGUUGGAAACGACUGCUAAUACCUCAUACUCCUUCUACCUUAAUGGUAGUUGGGAAAUGUCUUUUCGCUAGGGGAUGAGACUAUAUGGUAUCAGGUAGUUGGUGGGGUAAGAGCCCACCAAGCCUAUGACGCCUAGCUGGUCUGAGAGGAUGAUCAGCCACACUGGAACUGAGACACGGUCCAGACUCCUACGGGAGGCAGCAGUGGGGAAUAUUGCACAAUGGAGGAAACUCUGAUGCAGCAACGCCGCGUGGAGGAUGACGCAUUUCGGUGUGUAAACUCCUUUUAUAUGGGAAGAUAAUGACGGUACCAUAUGAAUAAGCACCGGCUAACUCCGUGCCAGCAGCCGCGGUAAUACGGAGGGUGCAAGCGUUAUUCGGAAUCACUGGGCGUAAAGGACGCGUAGGCGGGAUGCCAAGUCUGAUGUGAAAUCCUAUGGCUUAACCAUAGAACUGCAUUGGAAACUGGUACCCUAGAGUAUGGGAGGGGGAGAUGGAAUUAGUGGUGUAGGGGUAAAAUCCGUAGAUAUCACUAGGAAUACCGAAAGCGAAGGCGAUCUCCUGGAACAAUACUGACGCUAAGGCGUGAAAGCGUGGGGAGCAAACGGGAUUAGAUACCCCGGUAGUCCACGCCGUAAACGAUGUCAACUAACUGUUGGGACCUUAAAGGUCUUAGUGGUGGAGCUAACGUAUUAAGUUGACCGCCUGGGGAGUACGGCCGCAAGGCUAAAACUCAAAUGAAUUGACGGGGGCCCGCACAAGCGGAGGAGCAUGUGGUUUAAUUCGAAGAUACGCGAAGAACCUUACCUAGCCUUGACAUUGAUUGAACACUUUAGAGAUAGAGUGGUGCCCUUCGGGGAACAUGAAAACAGGUGCUGCACGGCUGUCGUCAGCUCGUGUCGUGAGAUGUUGGGUUAAGUCCCGCAACGAGCGCAACCCUCGUCCUUAGUUGCCAGCAGGUUAAGCUGGGCACUCUAAGGAGACUGCCUUCGUAAGGAGGAGGAAGGUGAGGACGACGUCAAGUCAUCAUGGCCCUUAUGGCUAGGGCUACACACGUGCUACAAUGGGGCGUACAGAGAGUUGCGAUACCGCGAGGUGGAGCCAAUCUCAUAAAGCGUCUCUCAGUUCGGAUUGAAGUCUGCAACUCGACUCCGUGAAGUCGGAAUCGCUAGUAAUCGUAGAUCAGAAUGCUACGGUGAAUACGUUCCCGGGUCUUGUACACACCGCCCGUCAUACCAUGGGAGUGGGUUGCACCAGAAGUGGCUAGUCUAACUGUUUACAGGGGACGGUCACCACGGUGUGAUUCAUGACUGGGGUAAAGUCGUAACAAGGUAACC
rnacentral:rRNA from 1 species